AACGAACGCUGGCGGCAUGCCUAACACAUGCAAGUCGAACGAAGGCUUCGGCCUUAGUGGCGCACGGGUGCGUAACGCGUGGGAAUCUGCCCUUUGCUUCGGAAUAACAGUUAGAAAUGACUGCUAAUACCGGAUGAUGUCGCAAGACCAAAGAUUUAUCGGCAAAGGAUGAGCCCGAGUAGGAUUAGCUAGUUGGUGGGGUAAAGGCCUACCAAGGCGACGAUCCUUAGCUGGUCUGAGAGGAGGAUCAGCCACACUGGGACUGAGACACGGCCCAGACUCCUACGGGAGGCAGCAGUGGGGAAUAUUGGACAAUGGGCGAAAGCCUGAUCCAGCAAUGCCGCGUGAGUGAUGAAGGCCUUAGGGUUGUAAAGCUCUUUUACCCGGGAUGAUAAUGACAGUACCGGGAGAAUAAGCUCCGGCUAACUCCGUG
rnacentral:rRNA from 1 species